rnacentral:rRNA from 1 species
AUUGAACGCUGGCGGCAGGCCUAACACAUGCAAGUCGAACGAGUGGCGGACGGGUGAGUAAUGUCUGGGAACCUGCCUGAUGGAGGGGGAUAACUACUGGAAACGGUAGCUAAUACCGCAUACCAUCGGAUGUGCCCAGAUGGGAUUAGCUAGGAGGUGGGGUAAAGGCUCACCUAGGCGACGAUCCCUAGCUGGUCUGAGAGGAUGACCGGCCACACUGGGACUGAGACACGGUCCAGACUCCGACGGGAGGCAGCAGUGGGGAAGAUUGCACAAUGGGCGAAAGCCUGAAGCAGCCAUGCCGCGUGAAUGAAGAAGGCCUUCGGAUUGUAAAGUACGUUCAGCGGAGAAGCGUUACCCACAGAAAAAGCAACGGCUAACUCCGUGCCAGCAGCCGCGGUAAUAC